rnacentral:hammerhead_ribozyme from 1 species
AUCCAACUGACGAGUCCCAAAUAGGACCAAAGGUGCAUCCUGUAU